UACGUAGGGUGCAAGCGUUAAUCGGAAUUACUGGGCGUAAAGCGUGCGCAGGCGGUUCGUUGUGUCGGCGGUGAAAGCCCCGGGCUUAACCUGGGAAUGGCCGUCGAAACUGGCGAACUGGAGUGUGGCAGAGGGGGGGUGGAAUUCCGCGUGUAGCAGUGAAAUGCGUAGAGAUGCGGAGGAACACCGAUGGCGAAGGCAGCCCCCUGGGCUGACACUGACGCUCAGGCACGAAAGCGUGGGGAGCAAACAGG
rnacentral:rRNA from 1 species